GCCUACCCCCUUCCCCUGAACCAGGGAAGAAAACUGAUGGAAGGAAGACAAAGUGGUUGCUAAUUAGCAAUUACUUCAUUAAUAGAAGACAUCUGCUUCACAUUAGGCAGGGAGAGAUGAAGGAGGCUGAAUCUCACAUGCUCAGUGACUAGCUGGGGCAUGCAGUGUGCUCCGAGGAGCUGGUAGAGCUGGGGGCUUGUUCCUGUGGGCUCAGAGUGCAAAGUCUGAGCAUUCCUGGGGUCACUUCAGAGGGAGGUGUGAUUCUCCCUUGCAGGGCAGGAACAAGAGCCCAGGAAGGUGGCAAGGAUGAAGG